CAGGAAAUGGAAGUAAGGGUUGGGUCCUUUUCAUCUCUGCUAUCAGUUGCUUUACCGCUUCGUCACUGUGCCAAAGGUACCUUUGCAGGCCAGAUAACAAAGCUCUACAAAAACCUGCAUGUAGGGCGUGGCCCUCAAAAAGACAAAAAAGCAAAAUGGAAGAGUUCUCUUGUGGCAGUCCCUGGCCUGGGAACUUCUAUGUACCGUGAGUAUGGCCAAAAAAUAGAAUACGUUUUUUAAUGUAUCUCAUAUUGUCUCUUGGACACUUGUGCUUGAGGAAAAGCAGAGAUACAGAUGUUCAAUUAGAUGUACCUAGAUGCUUGUGAAAUGUGGAAGGGGACUUCAGAUACUAUAAAGAUGCCAUUCUUGACUCAAAAUGUGGUUUUGCAUUACUUUACUAUGUAACCCAACAAUUCCACUUAACAGGUAUAUACCCAAGAGAAUUGAAAGGAUAUCCACACAAAACGUUCUAUAUGAAGGUUCAUAGCAGCACUAUUUGUAAUAGCUAAAGUGUAGAAAUAAUCAAAAAAAAA